rnacentral:rRNA from 1 species
UUGAACGCUGGCGGCAUGCUUUACACAUGCAAGUCGAACGGUAACAGGCCUUCGGGUGCUGACGAGUGGCGAACGGGUGAGUAAUGCAUCGGAACGUGCCCAAUCGUGGGGGAUAACGUAGCGAAAGUUACGCUAAUACCGCAUACGCCCUGAGGGGGAAAGCAGGGGAUCUUCGGACCUUGUGCGAAUGGAGCGGCCGAUGUCAGAUUAGCUAGUUGGUGGGGUAAAGGCCCACCAAGGCGACGAUCUGUAGCGGGUCUGAGAGGAUGAUCCGUCACACUGGAACUGAGACACGGUCCAGACUCCUACGGGAGGCAGCAGUGGGGAAUUUUGGACAAUGGGGGCAACCCUGAUCCAGCCAUUCCGCGUGAGUGAAGAAGGCCUUCGGGUUGUAAAGCUCUUUCAGCCGGAACGAAACGGUACGCUCUAACAUAGCGUGCUAAUGACGGUACCGGCAGAAGAAGCACCGGCUAACUACGU